rnacentral:rRNA from 1 species
UACGUAGGGUGCGAGCGUUAAUCGGAAUUACUGGGCGUAAAGCGUGCGCAGGCGGUUUCGUAAGACAGAUGUGAAAUCCCCGGGCUUAACCUGGGAACUGCAUUUGUGACUGCGAGACUAGAGUGUAGCAGAGGGGGGUAGAAUUCCACGUGUAGCAGUGAAAUGCGUAGAGAUGUGGAGGAAUACCGAUGGCGAAGGCAGCCCCCUGGGCUAACACUGACGCUCAUGCACGAAAGCGUGGGGAGCAAACAGG